rnacentral:rRNA from 1 species
UCGUCAGAGGUGAAAUUCUUGGAUUGCCGGAAGACGAACUAUUGCGAAAGCAUUUGCCAAGGAUGUUUUCAUUGAUCAAGAACGAAGGAAGGGGGAUCGAAAACGAUCAGAUACCGUUGUAGUCUCUUCUGUAAACUAUGCCAAUUGGGGAUUAGCUCAGGAUUUUUAAUGACUGAGUUAGCACCCGAAGAGAAAUCUUUAAAUGAGGUUCGGGGGGGAGUAUGGUCGCAAGGCUGAAACUUAAAGGAAUUGACGGAAGGGCACCACCAGGUGUGGAGCCUGCGGCUUAAUUUGACUCAACACGGGGAAACUCACCAGGUCCAGACACAAUAAGGAUUGACAGAUUGAUAGCUCUUUCUUGAUCUUGUGGUUGGUGGUGCAUGGCCGUUCUUAGUUGGUGGAGUGAUUUGUCUGGUUAAUUCCGAUAACGAACGAGACCUUAACCUGCUAAAUAGACCAGCCGGCUUUGGCUGGCUGCUGUCUUCUUAGAGGGACUAUCAGCGUUUAGCUGAUGGAAGUUUGAGGCAAUAACAGGUCUGUGAUGCCCUUAGAUGUUCUGGGCCGCACGCGCGCUACACUGACAGAGCCAGCGAGUCUACCACCUUGGCCGGAAGGCCUGGGUAAUCUUGUGAAACUCUGUCGUGAUGGGGAUAGAACAUUGCAAUUAUUGUUCUUCAACGAGGAAUACCUAGUAAGCGUGAGUCAUCAGCUCGCGUUGAUUACGUCCCUGCCCUUUGUACACACCGCCCGUCGCUACUACCGAUUGAAUGGCUUAGUGAGGCCUCCAGAUUGGCUAUUGGGAUCUCGCGAGAGAACCUGACUGCUGAAAAGUUGUACGAACU